GGGUGCCCGUUAAAUUUUUUUUUUUCAGAAUAUGUGAAACGUCGUCGUAUUAUCAUUAUGCUUUCCUUUGAUCUCAGAAAUUAGAAUCUCGCAGCCGUCAAAUUCUUCUCCUCUAAGCUCUGUUUCGAUGAAACUUAGAAACAUGAUAUGAAUCGAACUUGAGAAACAAUAUUUUGGGUCUCUUCGUCUUCUUCACUAAGAGAAGAUUGCAGCCUACUUUGGUUCCAAGGGUACGUUUUUGCUGUGAGACUGUGAGCGUCCUAAAUCCUAAUACUUCAAGAGGUUUGGUAACUUUGAAGUGUACGUUUCUGCUGUGAGGGUUUUUGUUGUGUUUGGUGGGUUAUUG